CUAACAUGUGCUGUCUUUCUAGAGUCUAAGAAACUCCUUCCUGUCUGAUAAUGCCUCCAAAAGUUUUAGGAUUUUCAGGAUUAUCUUUAUAUUCUGUUUUAUGCUGAAAGCUUUGGGAUACAAUGUCCUGGAAAUGCCUCUCGCCAAAACCAUCCCUAUAACACUCCCUACAAGGCUGAGACAUGGUAGCAUUACAGUCCCCCUCAUCAUCCCUUUGUGAGGUCACCAAGGACUUACAAAGAAAAGGACCCCCCAUUAAAUGGCAAGACUGGAAAGUGGAGUGACAAUGACCCACCCAGGCACCAUUUUUCCUCCGCCCUCCCCUCUCUUCCCAGGGUAGAAGAAACAAAUUAUAAAAUUAUCAGGCAUGGAGGAGCCAUGGAUUUUGAGGUGUUGGGGAGAUUCAUUUUGGAGACUGGAAAAUUUCUCUGCCCCUGGUGAAGUAUGGGUACCUGGGAAGAAGCAAUGUGUGUCAGCUUCAGGCUCAGCCACUGACCUUGGCGACUGACACUGCACUGGUCCACAUGAAUUCAGUUCAGCCUGUACAGCUUAUGUGAUAGCUGGAUUGAGAAAAACUGGUGGCCUGUGCAAAGCUCACAGGCAGCAGGGGCAGAAUUAGGACUCAAACACAGUCAACAGAAACAAAGAAGAGAAUAGAACUGAAAAUACCAGCUCCAUUUUCAGCACCAAGACCACCUAACGGCUUGGCAACUGAAAGAUACUGGGGGAGCACAGGAAUAUUCUCUGAGCACAGGAUUCUGUUUCAAGUGCAAGUGUCCUGUCUGGCCAGGACCAAUAGCUGUGGAGCCUGCUGGGACAGCAGGGGCUGCCAGUGACCCCCCAGUGCCCUUCUGUAGACACAGAGGAAGAUGUUUUCUGAAAAUCCCUCAAGGCCUGGCAGGUGGCUAAUAGUAAUAUCAAUAAAGGAUGAUUCCCCCAGGAAUACACUUCA